AUUGAACGCUGGCGGCAGGCCUAACACAUGCAAGUCGAGCGGUAGAGAGAAGCUUGCUUCUCUUGAGAGCGGCGGACGGGUGAGUAAUGCCUAGGAAUCUGCCUGGUAGUGGGGGAUAACGUUCGGAAACGGACGCUAAUACCGCAUACGUCCUACGGGAGAAAGCAGGGGACCUUCGGGCCUUGCGCUAUCAGAUGAGCCUAGGUCGGAUUAGCUAGUUGGUGGGGUAAUGGCUCACCAGGGCGACGAUCCGUAACUGGUCUGAGAGGAUGAUCAGUCACACUGGAACUGAGACACGGUCCAGACUCCUACGGGAGGCAGCAGUGGGGAAUAUUGGACAAUGGGCGAAAGCCUGAUCCAGCCAUGCCGCGUGUGUGAAGAAGGUCUUCGGAUUGUAAAGCACUUUAAGUUGGGAGGAAGGGCAGUAAAUUAAUACUUUGCUGUUUUGACGUUACCGACAGAAUAAGCACCGGCUAACUCUGUG
rnacentral:rRNA from 1 species